AGCAGCCGCGGUAAUUCCAGCUCCAAUAGCGUAUAUUAAAGUUGCUGCAGUUAAAAAGCUCGUAGUUGAAUUUCGGGACUAAUAUGUUGGUCGUGCCUCGGUACGUACUGAUAUUUUUGGUUUCUCCCUUCUGACGAACCUUGAUGCCAUUAAUUUGGUGUCUUGGGAAAUCAGGACUGUUACUUUGAAAAAAUUAGAGUGUUUAAAGCAGGCUUACGCUUGAAUACAUUAGCAUGGAAUAAUGAAAUAGGACGUUUGAUUCUAUUUUGUUGGUUUCUAGGAUUGACGUAAUGAUUAAUAGGGAUAGUUGGGGGCAUUAGUAUUCAAUUGUCAGAGGUGAAAUUCUUGGAUUUAUUGAAGACUAACUACUGCGAAAGCAUUUGCCAAGGAUGUUUUCAUUAAUCAAGAACGAAAGUUAGGGGAUCGAAGACGAUCAGAUACCGUCGUAGUCUUAACCAUAAACUAUGCCGACUAGGGAUCGGAUGAUGUUAAUUUUUAAUGACUCAUUCGGCGCCUUACG
rnacentral:rRNA from 1 species